rnacentral:tRNA from 1 species
GGAUCUUUAGCUCAGUUGGUUAGAGCAACCGGCUCAUAACCGGUAGGUCCGGGGGUUCGAGUCCCUGAAGGUCCACCA